rnacentral:rRNA from 1 species
UACAGAGGGUGCUAGCGUUAAUCGGAAUUACUGGGCGUAAAGCGCGUGUAGGUGGAUAUUUAAGUUGGGUGUGAAAGCCCCGGGCUUAACCUGGGAAUUGCAUUCAAGACUGGAUAUCUGGAGUAUGGUAGAGGGAAGUGGAAUUUCCGGUGUAGCGGUGAAAUGCGUAGAUAUCGGAAAGAAUACCAGUGGCGAAGGCGGCUUCCUGGACCAAUACUGACACUUAGGCGCGAAAGCGUGGGGAGCAAACAGG